GUCUUUUAGUCCACUUUAGCCCACCCCUCUUGGACUAGAGAACUAAACAAUUUAGUCCACAUUUUAGUCCACCUGUUUAGCAUUUUAGGGACUAAAAGGGGCCGAAAUGGGUGGACUGAUGGUCCAUGUUAACCAAACAGGAUUUAAACUUUAGUCCCUACCUCGUUUGGAUCCAGGAUUAAAGGCCAUUAAACCAGAUGAACAAAGAUCAAA
rnacentral:lncRNA from 1 species